rnacentral:rRNA from 1 species
UACGAGGGGGGCAAGCGUUGUUCGGAAUUAUUGGGCGUAAAGGGCGCGUAGGCGGUGCGGUAAGUCUGAUGUGAAAUCUCCGGGCUCAACUCGGAGUCUGCAUCAGAAACUGCCGUGCUCGAGUGUGGGAGAGGUGAGUGGAAUUCCCGGUGUAGCGGUGAAAUGCGUAGAUAUCAUUUGGAACGCCAACGGUGAAAACAGCUGGCUGGGGGUGUGCUGACGCUGAGACACGAAAGCCAGGGGAGCGAACGGG